AUUGAACGCUAGCGGCAUGCCUUACACAUGCAAGUCGAACGGCAGCACGGGGCAACCUGGUGGCGAGUGGCGAACGGGUGAGUAAUGUAUCGGAACGUGCCCAGUAGCGGGGGAUAACUACGCGAAAGCGUAGCUAAUACCGCAUACGCCCUACGGGGGAAAGGGGGGGAUCGCAAGACCUCUCACUAUUGGAGCGGCCGAUAUCGGAUUAGCUAGUUGGUGAGGUAAAGGCUCACCAAGGCUUCGAUCCGUAGCUGGUUUGAGAGGACGACCAGCCACACUGGGACUGAGACACGGCCCAGACUCCUACGGGAGGCAGCAGUGGGGAAUUUUGGACAAUGGGGGCAACCCUGAUCCAGCAAUGCCGCGUGUGCGAAGAAGGCCUUCGGGUUGUAAAGCACUUUUGGCAGGAACGAAACGGUGCCGGAUAAUACCUGGCGCCACUGACGGUACCUGCAGAAUAAGCACCGGCUAACUACGUGCCAGCCGCCGCCGUAA
rnacentral:rRNA from 1 species